CAAGAACCACACAGAGAUAGAACACAUCACCAGACCGGCUGAGCUGACUGCUUGGUGGAAGGGACCACUGCAGCUGCUGUUCCAGCCACUGGAGGGCCGCUCUGGCAUCGUCCACUUCUUGGCUGAAGGGACUUAAAGUGUGUUUGAUGGUCUGCGGGAACUAUGGAAGAGUGUUCAGUAGGUGGCGAUGUGUACCUUGAUGUUGUUUGUGAUCUGCCAGUAAAUCCAGAGAAGAAGAAGAAGAGCCAGGUAUUCCCUGCAUGACAGAUAAAUUCUGCAGCCAGCCACAGACUGUGGACCCUGAGGCUCCUCUAAACCAAACCCACCGCCCCAGCACAAGUCAUGGCCCCCGGACCCUCCUCAGAUGCUGCUGAACCCACCUUGCACUGUGCUGCUGUGAAAUUAAAGAAAUUCUGCAGCCAGCCACAGACUGUGGACCCUGAGGCUCCUCUGACCCAAAACCCACCAGCCACGGCCCCCGGACCCUCAGAUGCUGCUGUGUAAUUAAGAAAAUUCUGCAGCCAGCCACAGACUCAGAGGCUCCUCUAACCCAAAACCCACCAGACACGGCCCCCGGACCCUCAGAUGCUGCUGUAACCAUCUUGCACUGUGCUGCUGUGGGUCGUUGGACGCGGACGCCGCCACAGAAGGCGCCACUUCCAGAGAGAAUGGGCUAAAUGGGUCAACAGACGGUGGAUGUGUGUCAGUGAUUCCCCUCUGGUACGGAGCUGACCCCCUGCCUGUGGAGAUUCAGCAGAGAAGAAAGCUGCUGAUGCUCACUUAAAAGCAGCCUUGACCUGUUUGUUUCACUUUCAAACUGUAUACAGUACACAGCUGGAAUCUGUGCACAGUGUCCUGCCAACAUCUCACUUUGGAACAUAUUGAUCGCAUUAAUUAAUCUCUUUGAUGUACAGCACUUUGGAGGUUAUAAAACAAACUCCUGCUGUGUGAGGGCAGGUUUGCACCUUGAGGCAUUGAACUGUGACACUCGAGUACCCAGAAGUCACUCUACAAGAUGUAAUUAAUCUGCAUUUUCCUUGCUUUCCCCUUUUAAGUUUCUCAUGAUGGGCUGCAGUUAAUGUGGCAGAGCUUCUGUUCCGACUUAUGUUACCUGAAAAUGUUUGUUUCGCUCUUAUAUCUUACACCAGUGGUUCUUAAUUGAUCUACAAAAGGAUGCAGACCUGUACUUGAUAAGAUGUAGUCUCAGGGAACACGCCGUCUGAUAAGAUUGAGUUAUUUUUUUAACUGUUCAAAUAUUAAACAGAACUCGCUUGGACUUGUAGUGGUAAAAAGAAGUCUCUACUUUAAGAAAAGUCCGGUGAAUGACGAAUGGCUGGGGUUGGAGGUCCAGGGCAGAUUGGAGGGAAUGUGAAGGAAGGAGAUGGCGUAGGCUGGAGAAUGGACAAACAGAGGGCAAGGAGACAAGCGGAGACAUUGCGGCAGAGAAAAGAAAGGUUAGACACUGAAAUGAACACUGAGGCAAAAUAUCAUAAAAAAACUUGAGAAUUGGCCAAAGUGUAUCUCACACAAGAGUUAAAGAACAAUCUGGCGGUGAGUGACUGCAGCAGUGCCAGGAGCCAGGGGAGCGAGGAAGAGGUGGCCACAGUCCAGAAUAUUCAUUCUCUCAAUGGGAUAACUUCUAGCCAAUGAAAUAAUAGUGAAAUAUUCCCCCUGGACCCAGUUCAAGGAUCCUUGAGGGUCCCUUGAGCCCUGAUGAGACCGCUGCCUUAGAGUCCACACUAAGUUUACAUUUUACACACGUAGCAGGAAAGUUCCCUUCGAGAUCACAAAGUUUGGAUGUCAACAUAGCGAUCAAUCGCACAAAACAGUUGGGUUUAUUUUAUCAGAUGGGACAAUAGUCAGCUUUCCAUUCAAAUGUAGCAUAUAUUUAACCCAGCUAUCAGAACAUUUCCCCUAAACAUGCAAAUGAAUGCGUAUUUCCAUCUCAUCAGUGAAAGCUUGAGGGACAUUUAGGUUACAUGCUGCAUGUGUGUCAUGAUUUAUUUUGAUUUUUGAUUUUAUUUAGUCUGUAUGCAUUACACUUUUUUGGUCACAUUUUGGUGGGAUGCUACAUCCACCACUUGUUAUUUAGCUAUGAUUGCGUGAAGUCCCCUGGGUCCCCCACGGACACAGAUUUUUACUUAACUUUUGAAUUUACCAUUUGUAUUUUUUCCCCCUCAUUCUUUACCCAGAACUGAGCAUGUGACAAAAAUGUAAACAAGUUUCAACUACAACAGCCUGACACAGCUGUGCACUGGUAAUAAAAUGAAAGCAAAUGCCCCACUC